CAUCGGUAUCAAUCAUGAGAUCUCCACUCUGGAUCAUUCUACCAAUCAACAUAUGACUCAGGAGAAGCUGCUAGAAGAUUGGUAUUACAUGACAAACAGCCAUUUGCGUGUUUAUUUACACCCCCACCUCCAUGACUCAGACACAGGGCUGCGUGGCACCCAGCGCCAAACAACCCUGCCUUACAGUUUGGAGAAACAGCAAAGGGGAAGGAAGGAAUAUUUGCAAGUUUUGCCGGAGCCUGUUCUAAGCCGCUUCGUUUCCCCUGAAGCCCGAGCCUCGCCGCUGUGGGCCUGAAGGCGAGAAGCCUCCGCGGUGGGGUGGCUGUGGAUGGGGGCUGUGAACCCGCAGAGGGUGUUACCACUAGAGUCUAGUUGUACAGACUCUACUCGGAGCCCUUUAUAAGGAUCGAGUGCGAUCCCUGUUCUAACCAAGAUCCCUCCAGUGUGUGAGGGGCGCGCCUAAGAUCACGGGGAGGUGGGCUUGUGCUUCACAGAAGACACGGGGAAAAAAGACUGCCGGCCGCGCCGCGCCGCCCCUGAGCACCUUUCCCGAGAAAGGCACCGCGGAUCCCCCCGCUUCCUCCUUUAAAGGCCGUAAAACGAGAUCUGGGGUUUGGAGACGAAUCAGAGGACCCCACCAUAACCUCUCGCCGGAAAUACCCCCUUCCCAAAGACGCGCCACUGUGGCGCACGCGCACUCACUCACUUAGCAACACUGGCUCUCCCUGCCGGGAGCCUAGCAACAGCAGAGCCGCCGCGUCCCCCACCAAUCAGCGUCAGCCUCGCCUUUACACGCCUCACCAAUCAGGGCCGGCGCUGCAAAGAAGUUUCCAGAGCUUUCGAGGAAGGGCCCCUUAACUCGAAUUCAUCCGCCUUAUAAUUUUCCUAUAUUUUCCUAAAGGAGGAGAAGUAUAGCCUGGAAUAGAGGGGAAUUGAUUUGUUAGGGUCCUUUUUCGGCUGUGAGGGAUUUGGGGCUCAGUGGACAGGCCUAACUGCGUCACUGGAGGUGGUGCCGAGAGAACUACUUUCUGCGGCGCAUGGACACGGCGGCUACGUAGGCAGUGAUUAGUCACGCAACGGACGUUGCAUAAAUUUCAGCUCCGCCGAGUGCCGGAACAUUCGGAAGCGAGUGGCGUUGUUGAGCGGUUGAGCGUUGGUGGUGAGGCGAAUCGACGUGCUUGGAUUUGCGGUGUCUUCGCAUUUGCUAACAGGUACUGACUGACCCGCAGCCUUCGAGACCUGGGAGGGGUGGAGAGGGCGCCUAGGUGAGAAGAAGCUGGCCAAUUCUUGAGGCCGAGGGGGCCUCACAGAGAGGUGUGGGGGGAGGGGUGGGCGAGAUGACGCGGCGCCGGGCCUUUCCGGAAGAGUGGGCCUUGUUUACGUGAAGGGAGCGGGGGCGGUUGGCGCGCGUGCGCGGGCAGAGGCUAACGGAUACCUAACCGAUGGAGAUUCCAUCGUGUCUGCUUCAGAGGGGGAAAGCGGAAAAAAGGUGUGGUUUCUAGAAACCUUUUAAUUUGAAUCGCUUGUUCGAGGUGUCCCACCCCAUCUCGGUUUAAACGGGAAUUUUCCCCGUGUCCUGUGAGGUUUUCUUUUCUUCGUUUUAUGAGCUGUGCUUAGGUUUUGGGGAAAUUACUGGAGAGAGGAGUACUGAAAACGUAUCUGCUGCAGUUGAGAAAUCUCUGUGGAUGCCAACUUCAAAACAGUGCUUUUGAUUCUCUAGCCGGUUUAAGUUGAAGCUUUGACUAAAGAAUUCUUUGACUAAUUUGUCUAAUAAAAAUCAGUGGUUUGUGAGGGAUGUAGAUCGUUUAAGGUAUUUGGGAGAAUAGAGUUAAUGAUUAGUUUUAAAGAAUUGAUUACAUGUGAAAGUAGUAAGUGUAAAGAUCCUGAAGUGAU
rnacentral:lncRNA from 1 species